CCAAUAGCGUAUAUUAAAGUUGUUGCAGUUAAAAAGCUCGUAGUUGAAUUUCGGGAUUGACGUGAUGGUCAUGCCUUAAGGGGUAUGAACUGUUGCUGUUGAUUUCUCACCUUCUGGAGAAACUUGAUGUCCUUUAUUGGGUGUCUUGCGGAUCCAGGACCUUUACCUUGAAAAAAUUAGAGUGUUUAAAGCAGGCAUUUUUGCUCGAAUACAUUAGCCUGGAAUAAUAGAAUAGGACGGCAUGGUUCUAUUUUGUUGGUUUCUAGGAUCACCGUAAUGAUUAAUAGGGAUAGUUGGGGGCAUUAGUAUUCAAUUGUCAGAGGUGAAAUUCUUGGAUUUAUUGAAGACUAACUACUGCGAAAGCAUUUGCCAAGGAUGUUUUCAUUAAUCAAGAACGAAAGUUAGGGGAUCGAAGACGAUCAGAUACCGUCGUAGUCUUAACCAUAAACUAUGCCGACUAGGAAUCAGACGAUGUUAAUUUUUUAAUGACUCGUUUGGCACCUUACG
rnacentral:rRNA from 1 species